ACCGAAAUAAAAAUACAAUCGCAGCUGCUUAGCUAAAAAAUCUUAAUCGAAAGAAGCAAAAGUGGAUGGCGUGGUGCCAGUAAGAUGGUAUCGAUAUGAUCUAGUCUCAAUUAAACGGAAAAUAAAACCUGUAAACAAUUUCUGUCUAUAUUUACUUGUUCAAGUCCCAGUGAAACGAACGGUAGAGAAGAAGAAGCAUUCGAACUGUUUGCAAAAUGUUUGGUUUGGAUACAAAAAACCAAGUGAAAAUGAUACUGGAAAGACUGUUUACCGUUUAACUCCUGUCCCAAUCUAAUCUAGUGGGUUCAAAAAGAAGGGACCGCGCUGGAAACAUGAAUGGAUUAAAAGGAUCAGCCCUUUUUGAAUUAAUAGUCGAAGUGGUCACCAGCUAGAAGAACCUGCUCGUAUGAAAGGAUUUCUCGACGUGAAAUUGUUAAUUUUAUUCAACAACGCCAAGAAACAAAGCUCGCUCAAGAAACAGAAAAGA
rnacentral:lncRNA from 1 species